rnacentral:rRNA from 1 species
UACAGAGGUCCCGAGCGUUGUUCGGAUUCAUUGGGCGUAAAGGGCGCGUAGGCGGCUUGAUAAGUAGGGGGUGAAAUCUUGCGGCUCAACUGCAAGGCUGCCUCCUAAACUGACAGGCUUGAGCACAGUAGAGGCAGGUGGAAUUCCCGGUGUAGCGGUGGAAUGCGUAGAGAUCGGGAAGAACAUCGGUGGCGAAGGCGGCCUGCUGGGCUGU